rnacentral:rRNA from 1 species
UUGAAAGGGAAACGAUUGAAGUCAGUCGUACCGACGAGAAAUCAGCUUUUCGAAUGUGCAUUUGUGGGCGUAUGAGAUCUUCAUUGUUUGCAAUAUGUAUGUUUCUUUGGUGUACUUUUUCGUAUGGUAGGUCAACGUCGGUUUUGAUCGCCAUAAAAUGAUCGGAGGAAUGUAGCUUCGGCCUCGGUUGAAGUGUUAUAGCCUUUGGUAAAUGUGGUGAUUAAGACCGAGGAUUGCAACGAAUACCUUUUAGGCUAUCCGUCUGACCUCUGAAAGUUACUUAGGUGUCGAAAGCUUGCUUACGGUCAUUAAGUUGACGGUCAAUAGGUUAGAACGUGAUUCNUCGUUAAGGAUGUUGACGUA